UACGAAGGGGGCUAGCGUUGCCCGGAAUCACUGGGCGUAAAGGGUGCGUAGGCGGGUCUUUUAAGUCAGGGGUGAAAUCCUGGAGCUCAACUCCAGAACUGCCUUUGAUACUGAGGAUCUUGAGUUCGGGAGAGGUGAGUGGAACUGCGAGUGUAGAGGUGAAAUUCGUAGAUAUUCGCAAGAACACCAGUGGCGAAGGCGGCUCACUGGCCCGGUACUGACGCUGAGGUGCGAAAGCGUGGGGAGCAAACAGG
rnacentral:rRNA from 1 species